CCCCUGGUGGUCCAGUGGUUAAAACGCUGAGCUCCCAAAUCACGGGGCCCAGGUUUGACCCCUGGUCAGGGAA
rnacentral:tRNA from 1 species